UACGGAGGGGGCUAGCGUUGUUCGGAAUCACUGGGCUUAAAGGGCGCGUAGGCGGGCGAUCAAGUCGGUGGUGAAAUCCUACAGCUUAACUGUAGAACUGCCUCCGAUACUGGUUGUCUCGAGGAAGGUAGGGGCGUGCGGAACAGUUGGUGGAGCGGUGAAAUGCGUUGAUAUCAACUGGAACUCCGGUGGCGAAGGCGGCACGCUGGACCUUUUCUGACGCUGAGGCGCGAAAGCCAGGGGAGCAAACGGG
rnacentral:rRNA from 1 species